rnacentral:piRNA from 1 species
UCCCAACCAAGAAACUGGCGAAGCUGCA